GAUGAACGCUGGCGGCGUGCCUAAUACAUGCAAGUCGAGCGAACAGACGAGGAGCUUGCUCCUCUGACGUUAGCGGCGGACGGGUGAGUAACACGUGGAUAACCUACCUAUAAGACUGGGAUAACUUCGGGAAACCGGAGCUAAUACCGGAUAAUAUAUUGAACCGCAUGGUUCAAUAGUGAAAGACGGUUUUGCUGUCACUUAUAGAUGGAUCCGCGCCGCAUUAGCUAGUUGGUAAGGUAACGGCUUACCAAGGCGACGAUGCGUAGCCGACCUGAGAGGGUGAUCGGCCACACUGGAACUGAGACACGGUCCAGACUCCUACGGGAGGCAGCAGUAGGGAAUCUUACGCAAUGGGCGAAAGCCUGACGGAGCAACGCCGCGUGAGUGAUGAAGGUCUUCGGAACGUAAAACUCUGUUAUUAGGGAAGAACAAAUGUGUAAGUAACUAUGCACGUCUUGACGGUACCUAAUCAGAAAGCCACGGCUAACUACGUG
rnacentral:rRNA from 1 species